AUACGGAGGGUGCAAGCGUUAAUCGGAAUUACUGGGCGUAAAGGGCGCGUAGGCGGUCUAUCAAGUCAGGUGUGAAAUCCCACGGCUCAACCGUGGAGGUGCAUCUGAAACUGAUAGACUUGAGUAUGGGAGAGGAAAGUGGAAUUCCCGGUGUAGAGGUGAAAUUCGUAGAUAUCGGGAGGAACACCAGUGGCGAAGGCGACUUUCUGGACCAAUACUGACGCUGAGGCGCGAAAGCGUGGGGAGCAAACGGGAUUAGAAACCCCAGUAGUCC
rnacentral:rRNA from 1 species